CACGUAGGGCGCAAGCGUUGUCCGGAAUCAUUGGGCGUAAAGCGCGUGUAGGCGGCUCGAUAAGUCUGCUGUGAAAGUCCAGGGCUCAACCCUGGGAUGCCGGUGGAUACUGUCGAGCUCGAGUCCGGAAGAGGCGAGUGGAAUUCCUGGUGUAGCGGUGGAAUGCGCAGAUAUCAGGAGGAACACCAAUAGCGAAGGCAGCUCGCUGGGACGGUACUGACGCUGAGGCGCGAAAGCGUGGGGAGCGAACAGG
rnacentral:rRNA from 1 species